CGCACCGCGGGUCCGGACCGGGCCGGGAGCCCCCGGCACUUUGAGACGAGCGCAGCCAACAUUCGGAUUUGACACCAGGCCCUCGGCCAAUCCGAGAGGGCUUUUCACCUGCCAUCGCUUCCUCCGCCAAUCAGACGGCGUGUUUGGGCCGAGAGCCCUCCCCGGCCAAUCGGGAGCCGGCUGAGCCACUUAGUUAAUGAUGCAGCAGUACAGGGAAGACUAUCACAUGUGAGCUGGAAGGCUGCCAACAUGGAGACACGGAGAGAGCAAGGUAAACAACUUUCCAACGCCAAAAUGAUGACAUUUAAUCCCUAAAUGCUAGCUUCCCGUCUCGACUCAUCCUUAACCCCUUUCAGCUGGUGUGGAAGCGUCUGGAAGGCACCGUGUACCUGUCCCCAGUGCUUUUAAAAACUGGCCGACGUGCCCUGCAAUGAUCACUGCGUCACCGUUUGCCACUUUCCGAACUACGCAGUGGCAAAGCCCCGAGCCCAGCUCACAGGGUGGCUGUUAACCCCUGCACCCAGCCCUGCCUCCACGCCAGCCCUCGGGGGGACGGCAGGGAAUAAAAAGCCCGAGCAAAACACGAAAACAGCAGUCUGCAAAGUUGUCAUCUCUCCCCCACGACUACUGCCCUCCUCUGCAUUACAGCAAUGCCGGCAAGAGUGGCAUUCGUACAACCUGUACCGACGUUCCAUUGAGAAAACAGCUCUGACGCAGAGCAGAGCAAUCAUACCCAGCCGAAAUAAUAAUGAAGGCACUUGGGGAGCUGAACUUAGGGACGAUGGGGGAAGGGGACGCCCUGCAAAGCAUUACAAAACGUAGAUGCAGCUCCAGCCCCAUCCUGAUCAAAGGGUACGUACGUGGGAAAGACGAACCGGACCGAGGAGCUCUGCCCGUGCACCAGCUGCGCAGCGUUCAGCCCUCUGCUUGCUGUGUAGCGCCGCAGAAUAGAAGGUUCCAGAAUUUUCCUUUCCGUUAACCCUUUCGGUGUCUGCCCACUCUCCCUCCCCGCGGGAUUAAGCGCGCCGGGUCUCCAGCAUCGUCAACGGGCGAAGCCUCCUACGCCAACCGAGCCCAGAUACGUUCUCUAAAUGACACUGUCUGGUGUCAGGAGCUCCGUCCCUGGUGUUGGUAUUACUUCUCUUUCUUGAGCCCUCUCUCCCUCUCCGGCUGCUUCUCUCCCCUCUUGCUGCAGCAGGGCUGUUGCUGGUAGACCUAUCGACGGAGCUUGCUCUCUCGCUGAGCUCUGUGACGCAGCUCUAAAUUCUCCAGCCUGCUCCUUGUGUUAUAACAGCGGAACUGCAGCCUUCCAGGGAGCCCGUGCCAGCAGUGCCAGGGCCAGGCACACCGAGGGAGCCUCACUCCUGGACGCUGCACCUUUUUUUGGUGAUUAUUAUGUUCCUCACCUGUGCUUCUCUGCUGCCUUCUGAGCCUCUCAGCCUCGCAUCUCCCUCUCUGCUUCUGAGUCAUGCUUGCUGGGUUAACUCUUUUAGGAUUGGUAGUCAGCAACACAAAUCUUGAACGAGCGCAGCUAAAACCACAGCCAACUUUGUGGUGAUUUCUGCUUUAAAAAAAACCAAAGCAAAUCUUCUUGGCUCUAAGAAACAAAAACAUACACACACACACACGUUCCAGUAGAGAGUUGGUGCUUCUCAAUUAACUGUUUCGGUGUCAGGAACUACUGUCUGAUGUCCUGAAAUAAAGGGAUUUGGGCCUACAUCCUGCAAAUACUCAGCCAGCAUUCCCUUGUAGCACAAAGCAAGUUAAAAGGAACCACUUGCAGGGAUGGAUGCAGGACUUCUGGACAUAAAAGCACAAAAAUGCUGCUGGAUCCACGUGAUCCUGUUGUGCUGGUUGCAAGACAUUGAUCUGACUGUGGUUCAGCCACUGAGCAGAUGCACUGUGUAGGAUAAGGUACUGAAAGUGCUAGAAAGCUAUAGGCUCUGCUUAAUCUGAACAGUAUUAAUAAGUGUUACCACAGACACAGAUUCAGAAUGCUCAGUGUAGGCAGGGGAACUAAUAGCUGCAUUCCGGGAGUCUCCAGAAUGCAAUCAUCUCUGUCAAAAAGGUUCACCAGCAGCUGCAUAUUGCAGCACAGCAGGCGCAGCCAGGCAAGCAAAGUGCUGCUGCUGAGCGGCUCUCCUCACCCCUAGCCCUCUGCCUCGUGUUAGCUCCAGUGCAGUCAACUUCAGCACCAGGCAGAGGAAGCGCUGCUCCCAUCUCGGAGCCUUGAAACCGGAAAAUGUGGAGGAGGAUCAGUGGUAGAGAUGGAGCAUCUGGGAAUCAAAGCAGAGCUAAUGGAAAGCCAGCCCUGCAUGAGGGAGUUCAUGCGUCAGACUGCGUGUACAACGGAGCCAGCAGCCCAUUUGAAAACCUUGGAAUCAGGAGAGAUCACUCCGCAGAGGCAUCUGCCAUUUUAGUGCUGAACUCUGGAGCUGACUGUGAGCUUUGGGCUUUUCACUACAACCAGAGCUGAAGUAACCACUAUUUUUUUUUCUCUUUGCAGCGUCUGAAGAGCCUGAGCUAUUUUGGGAUUUGUCUGUACUACACUGAAAAUGACACCUGUUACACACAGGCAUAAAUGAGAAGAAUUGCAAGCUCCUGGUUUCUCAGAUACAGUUCUGCCACGGAAAGAAGAUAGGAGCUGGGGGUGUGGGAGGGCAGCCCUGGCUCUCAGCAUGGGGUGAAGAGCUGACCCUUGUGUAGUCAGACAGCAGUACAGGGAGCGCACGAGGCUUGUUGCAUCUGAUGCAGACCUCCCUGUGACCAAGAGCAGUAGUGCUUGAUCAUCGAAACGCUGCAAGAUGGGGUUUCAUACAUGACCAAACCCAUGGGACUUCAAGCCUUACAGAUCUGCUUUGUGGCCAAAGCUGCAAGCGUUAACUGUUUCAGUUAAUUGUAAGAGUGCUUCGGCUACUUAAAUGAGUCACUCAGCAGUGAUGCUCUGAAGUAGGCCAGCGUUUUUUGCAAGGUUACGCAGUUGGUUUCCGUUACCCCUGAGUUAUCUCAGAAGCUCAACCAACACACAGAGGCAGAGCGGAUUUCCGUGUUCCCCAUUGCUGUGUCUGCCUGCAGCCGAUCUGCAGCGCCCCAGGGAGGUGUCAGCAGCAUGCAGACCACACCGCAGCCCCCAGGCACUGAGCAUGGCAGUGGGAUGGACAGAGCCUGAGAAGUGGGAUGGCUGAUGGGCAUGCUUGGCUCCCAGCAAUGCUCGUGUAUUAAGUAAAACAGAGCUUUGGCUUAGUUCAAAUGGUAUGCUUUUGGUUGCUUUCAAGGGAAGAGCAGUGUUUAUUUAAUGGGUUGCUUUUGUUUGAAAAUGACCAGCCGUGGGACAUUUCUGUCUUUACCUGAUCAUAAAGCAUUUACUCUGUGGAGGCACUUCAGCUCCCAAGGAGGAUCAAAGCCACUGUGCCCUGUGAAGCGCUCAGGUUUAUUGCUAUCCGGAUGAUUUUCAUUAGUGCAUGUCAGAGGAAUGGCUUCUGGAGUGUUUGCAGUGAUUCCUGGCUGUGAUGAGCUCAACCACCAUCGCUGUGACACACGUCUUUGCCAGCCCAGCGUGUGCUCACUGCGGUCCCAUCCAACCACAGAGCAGGUUUCCUGUUUCACAUGGGGACACCAAGGCUGUGAAUGGACGGAGGGUCGCUGCGCUCAGCCCCCAGCCCUGGAAGGCAUCUGAGAGCCCAGCUGACCAGCAGACCUCACCGAGGGGAAGGCAUGGCUGAGGAUGAGCUCUGCAGUGGCCAAGGUCUGAGUUUAAGCCUCCAAUCCAGCAUCUAGUGCUAUUCCUGCCCAAAGGACAAGGCAAUAAGGGUAUAUUCUAGCAAAGGUUUUUUCCCAGACUGGAAGGUUUCCACCAAGUCAUGAAGAUGGUUGUGUUUGGGAUGGUCCGGUGGAUCCUGUGCCUCGUGUCAGCUCUGUCGUUUGGGGAAGCCCCUACAGGUGAAUCUGUGGCAAGGUAGAAGGUCCAUGGUUCUCAUAAGGAAGUGAAGGAGUUGCAAAAUGGGAGCUUCUGCAGAAAAGUGUCUUCUGGCACUAGCUGUGCCCCAUUCCUACCAUCAAUAAGCCUUGGGUGAAAAGAGGGAGGUGCUCCAGGGGGACUUGGGAAAGCAGAGUGGAUGUGACAGUGAAAAAUAAGGCUAUUGGAGGCACACAGCCAUGAGCCAGGAAUGGCUGAGCCCUGAGUCCCACAGGGACUCCCUCCAUAGGUCCGCCUAGAGGAGCACCAGGCUCCCACGGGUUCACUUUCAGCUGCUGAGAGCCAUUCUAUCCUUAGCACUGCCCUCCGCAGAGCUGCCACGAAUGUGUUCUGCACUGUGAGUCCAGAGAUCCACAGCUGCAGCUCUGGAGUGGGAGCUUUCCUUGGCAGCUCUGGGUGAGACGUGGGCAAGGGCACCAGCGGAAGGAGCCCCACUAUGCCCUGACCCGUGUGAGCACACGUCUGUUUCUGCGCAGCCUCCCUCGCAGACCCGCCGAAAUCUGGGUUAUAUAAUGCCACUGCUGCCUCGAAACAGGGAGGUUAAAAUGAGGUCGUCCAAGAUGGGAGCUGCCUGCAGCCGCCUCGGGAGGACGAUCCGCUGCCUGCGCCGAGCCCUGCACGCAGAGGAGCACUGCAACAUAAACAUACAGAAACAUAGGUCAGGAUGCUGGAAGUCUCCGGAGCGCUCACGGUGUGGAAUCAGGCCCAUUUCUUUAUUUGCAUCUCCCUGUUUACGUGACGAACUGUGCUGAGCAGGCAGCGUGACGGGCUGCGGUCACAGGGCACUGCAGAGCUGCGGGGUGCCAGAUCCACACAGCACAGAGCUCUGUGCCACAGCCAGCCCCAGGUGUUACCCUUUUUAAGCAUGUUUUAAGAGUGCAAGGUCUACAUUAUUCCUUCCAUCAUUGCUUUAUUUGCAGUAUGCUGUGGAAAGGCCAUCGCUCCAAGGGGAUCCACGUAAGAAAGUAUACAACUGUAAUAGAAAAAGCAAGAAUUCUGUUGCAUUAAAGCAGAUAUUCUUUUUCCAGAAUACUAAUGCAAUUCCUCCAGAACAAAGAGUGGAAGCUUCCUCCUGUAAAUGCAUUUCACAGAGACCACAAGGUGGGAAACAUGGGGCUGUUUGAGGGGAGCUGCUUGGGAUGAGCACAUCAAUGAGUUCAGCACCGGGCAUUGGGUGAUUCCAUGACUGGAGGGCCACUAAAACCAACAUGCUGCUGCAAACAAAGAGACAAAAGUCACAUUACCAGGAGCACAUGAGUUUGAGGAAGACCUACUCCCUCCUAACAGCAUGUGAAAACACCUGAUUUCCCAUUGUCAUGGUAAGCCUUUCCUUCAAAGCACUCCUAAUUUGUUUCCUGAUCCUCCAGCUUCUUGGCUGGUGCCAGAACAGAGCAGUGAGGGCUGGAGAGUUGUUGGCAGGACGGCAGCUGGGGAACAGUCUUUGUCUUUGACAGCAAGUGAUGGACAGUGCUUCUGUCCCACUGGGGGGAAUUUCUGCAUCACCAUCACUAAACUGGAUACAUGUGGGAUGAUUGCUGACCACAGAAAGAAGCCGAAGAUGAACCACCUACCUGCUGAAGGCAGAGGAUCAGCGCUGCUCCAGCCUUGCUCCUUGUUGGUACACAAGUUAGGCAAGUUACUUCGGGUAGAGAUCCCAGUGGGGGAUGGAGCCCUGUGUUAUCCUCCAAAGGGUCCCAGUUUGUGCAGGCAAUAUAACUGCACAUCAGUCUUUGCUGCUCCACAGCAGCACUCCCUUCAGGUUACUUCUCUGCUGAUUUUCAGAGGGAGCAGUUGGGCUGAGAACCCAGAGGGGCAGCCUGGGCAAUGCAGUGUUGCAAACCCUGCCCCAUCCUGGCAGAGCAAUGCUAAGGCAGGGAGUUACCCCGAGUAAAACCCUUGCUCAGAUGGACCAUGAACGCAGCCACAGGAUAAGGUAGCAAGCCAUAACGUAGGUAAGAAGCAUUUUGCAAAGGGGCAGUGCGUAAAAACAAGCCUGAGCAAAAGGAAAGUUAAGCCUCUUAAAUAUUAAAGUUCCAAAAUUAAACCCUUGUUUAUAUAACAGUUGGGUCACUGCUGCAGAACACGGGAGUUCACAGCAUUGCACCAAAAAAGGCUCUCGUGGAGCCAACAGCUGCUCCCCGGGGGCUCAGAGCAGGUGGGGAGCAGAGCUGCAGCCAGGAGGAUGCUCGUAGGGUUUGGCUGCCCUGACACGAAGUCUGCAGUCACCCCAUAAAGCAGUGCAACCCUUCGGGAUGUGCCUUGGAAGUUGGUGGAGGGGGAUGUCCGGCCCAUUCCUGCCUGCCCCCCUGCUUCGGUUUGGCUCAUCGCAGGUGAUAGCACAGCAACACAAGGCAAAUGCAUGCACAAAACAUAGAGAAUAACUUCAUGAAGUUUCUCUGCUGCUCAGUUAUCUUCAAAAAGCCAUCUAGAAAGGCCCGCAGAUACACCCCUACUUAUUAUUUUGUAAGAAAAGAGCACAAAAGAACUUAAUCCAAAGUAAAUAUUUAACCAAACAGCAAUUAACUAACAAUGAUGGAUUGUAAACAGCGCUGCUCCGAGGCUGAGCUGCAGCUCUCCUCUGUUUCUCUGGGCUACGGCUGCCCUAAGGGGGAAGGCAAGUUUACCGAGUCAGAUUUGUCUCUGCCACCUCGCUAUUAAAAGGCUCUACAAACAGAAACGGCAUCGGAUGAUCUGAGAGCGAGGAAAACAAUAAAGAACACAGCAAUGCAGGGCACGGGACUUGUAAGGCUUUAUGGAGCGACAACUGUCCUUGGGAAGGAGGGCUGAGCAAACACGAAGCUGUAAAGGAACUGCUUCCCAUCUGGGCAGCUUGUGUGAUACAUCCCAUGGGGCAGCAGUCCCACUUACCCACGAGGAAGUAGUGAUAAUAACAAUAAUAAUAAUAAUGUAUUUUAAUAUUUUAAUACUUAAUACUUAUUAAAUUAUUAUUAUGUCCCAUUUGUUAUUGUUAUGCUCCAUUAUCAUUAUGUUCCCUUCGGGAAGAUGUCCCCCCCACAGAUCACUACUUCCAUAAUAAUAAUAAUAAUAAUAAUACCACCACCACAAAUUCUAGUAAGUAUUAUCUCUUAUUUCCCACCCCCAGGUGCCUCCGGCAGCUGCAGCAGCCCGGCCAGGCUCUGUCCGUGCCCCCACCUGCACCAUGGCCCAGGGAAAGGGGUGGUUAUGGGGCGGGGUGGUGCACGGGGGACGCUCCCAUCCCGGCCCCUCUCCGCUCUGUCCCCGCGGCUCCCGGCGCGUCCCCC
ensembl:lncRNA